rnacentral:rRNA from 1 species
GACGAACGCUGGCGGCGUGCCUAACACAUGCAAGUCGAGCGAGAAUUUUUAUAAAAGAUUCCUUCGGGAGUGAAAUUAAUAACUUUCUUAGCGGCGGAUGGGUGAGUAACGCGUGAGAAACCUGCCUUUUACAAGGGGAUAGCCUCGAGAAAUCGGGAUUAAUACCCUAUGAUACUUCUUAGUCGCAUGACUGAGUAGUUAAAGCGUAAAGCGGUAAAAGAUGGUCUCGCGUCCCAUUAGUUAGUUGAUGAGAUAAAAGCUCACCAAGACUACGAUGGGUAGCCGGCCUGAGAGGGUGACCGGCCACACUGGAACUGAGACACGGUCCAG